GCCCAGACUCCUACGGGAGGCAGCAGUGGGGAAUAUUGCACAAUGGGGGAAACCCUGAUGCAGCGACGCCGCGUGAGUGAAGAAGUAUUUCGGUAUGUAAAGCUCUAUCAGCAGGGAAGAAGAAGGACGGUACCUGAGUAAGAAGCCCCGGCUAACUACGUGCCAGCAGCCGCGGUAAUACGUAGGGGGCAAGCGUUAUCCGGAUUUACUGGGUGUAAAGGGAGCGUAGACGGCGAAGAAAGUCUGAAGUGAAAGCCCGGGGCCCAACCCCGGGACUGCUCUGGAAACUGCGUCGCUGGAGUACGGGAGGGGCAGGCGGAAUUCCUGGUGUAGCGGUGAAAUGCGUAGAUAUCAGGAGGAACACCGGCGGCGAAGGCGGCCUGCUGGACCGUGACUGACGUUGAGGCUCGAGAGCGUGGGGAGCAAACAGGAUUAGAUACCCGAGUA
rnacentral:rRNA from 1 species